rnacentral:lncRNA from 1 species
UAUGAUGACAUGAUGAGAAAAUGCUAGAUUACAUGCAUAUUAACAUGUUGUAGAUCAUGUGAGAAAGAUUAUGCAUGUUGGCAUCACAUAAUGCAUGCUAGAUAAAAUGUGGAUAGUUAUGGAACUCGACAUGGACAAUUAGGAUGUCAAAUAGAUCGAGUGGCACUUAACCUAGUGUUAAAGAACAUAGGUUGUGAAUGAAUCUAGAGUCAUGUGAACUAGAUCGAGUGGCAUCUAACCUAGUGUAUAAAACAUAGGUUGGACAUGAAUGACAAUGAACCUAGUGUUGUUGAACCUAGGAUGAAUCAUGAGUGGCAUCUAACCUAGUGUUAAAGGACAUAGGUUAUGGAUUGAACCUAGAGUUAAGUAAACCUAGGUUAUGUGAUAGAGACGUUGAACCUAGAGUCAGUUGGACCUAGGGUGAAAAGGACGUUGGACCUAGAUAGGUCAAUGCUAUAGGGUUUGAAACCAACCCUUGAGUUAUGAAAUGGAUUCCGGAAUCCCUAGUGAUGUGGCCGCACAUGGAGCGGUGGAAAUUGUGGUAAAAGAGAUGGCAAGCGAAUCAUAACUGCAGGUAUGUGUGGUUCUCCUCGCCUGGCAGUGAUUCAACGGGUAUGUGUGGUUCUCCUCGCCCGGGAUGCCAUGAGAAUAAGCUGGAAUUGGGUAUGUGUGGUUCUCCUCGCCCAUUAGCUUAUCGGAUGAUGCCGCCUAGGUUGACUUGAACCAUUGUUGGGUGAGAGCGAUGUGGUCGCUGCCAGAUGACUAAGUUAUGACUUGAACCAUUGUUGGGUGAGGUGCGAUGAGUUCGCCGCCAGAUGGCUAAGUCAUGACUUGAGUUGUUGUUGGGUGAGAGCGAUGAGUUCGCCGCCAGAUGGUUAAGUCAGAUCUGCGGUAGGCUGCGACGGCAGCCAGGCUGAGGUGCAGCCAGUGCGCGGACUAUCCGCGGAUGAUUGACUCGAGGCCGAGUCGGGUGGUUAGCUUGAUUAGGUUAAUGGGAACCUUAUAAGCUAGUGAUCGAGGCAAGAACCUGAGGUAAUAGAGACCUUAGAAGCAAGUUGAACUUGAGUUGAGAACAUAAGGUAAUGGAAACCUUACAAUUGAAUGAAAUGACCUAAAGUAGCAAAGUAAAUGUAGAAUUAACAUAUCUACUAGUUGUUUAUGCAGUUGCAUAGUUGCAUAAUGUUCAUAUUGCAUUUGCGAGGCAAGGUAUGGUUUUAUUAAUUGCAUAGUCAAAUAUCUAUCUAUCUGUUUAUUAAACUAACCUGCAGUUGCCUCCUUGGACCUAUUGGUCGAGCUCCUCCCUUGGGUGGCCGUACCCACUGGGAACCAUGGAGUUGGUUCUCACCCCACGUUGUUUUGGGGUGUUACAGGUUCGCACGUGAGCGGCGCGGCGGCGCGAGGCAAGGGCGUAGCUCCAUAGAUAGCGCCCUACCCCAGAGACCAGAAAUAGCGGUACCCCGAGUCGGCAUAGCCUACGGGUAGAGGGAAAUGAAAAGAAAACAAUGUAUCAAACCUGUAAUAUUAAUUGUAAUAACUUAAUUGCAUUCGGAGGUUGUAUGUAAUGAAAAAUGUAAAAUGUUUGAAUGUGAAUGCUUGUAAUAACAUAGGAUGUGUUAUGUUUUUGAUACCUCCCACUAUGCAAUCUUGAUUGAUAUCUGUUCCUGGUUGGAACCCUUGUAAUGUUCAUUGUAUUGAUUGCGACGCCUAGAACGUACAGGGGAAACUCUGUCCGUUUGGCGGUCUGUCGGCGGCGCCGCGACCUCGGCCAAAUAGGCCGGUGGUUGCGGGUCGUGACACCUACAACCCAACGGGACCGUCCUAUAGGGAAACUCCAACCCAGUGAUGACAACUCCGGAGCUCAUCGCUCAAAGGGGUGCGAUCGUCCGCAAGCCAAGACUUAUAGGUGAGUAAUGAUCAAAUCCACAACUUUGAGGAUGCCAUGUUCACUAAGAGGAUGUCAAGAUCACCAAUGCCACAACACACAAAGUGUUCUAUUCUUAAGCAUGUAAUGCCACAAGGCGCUAUUCCAUUCAAUUGUCACAAUGUCACCUUGUCACAAUGUCACCAUGUUCUCUAUCUCGGAACUCAUGUCUCAAUUCAUACAUUUAUAGGGUUCACAAGCAUAAUAUACAUGUCUCAUAACCAACUCAUAUGCAUCUUUAUACUCAAAAGCAUGCAAGAUAUAUCACCAGAUUGCCAUUUAGCCAUUUAAACCCUCCAAUGCAUGAAUCCUACACUUACACAUACAUGCUCAAUAGGUGACUUUAGACAUAAAGAGAAAUCCAACUAUUUCGGUUAGCACCACCCACCUCGUAGCGUCGCUAAGAUGCUAGAAUCCGAGUCCCACAAUUUAUGGUCGCCAAUCGCCCUCGACCCUCGGCAAAUGAAGUCGAAAUGGGGUAUUUCCUCACUUUCUCGGUGCAGACCUAUCGG